AUAAAAGUAUUGACGGAGACAAAAAUACUGAAAAAUUAACUACAGAGAGCCGAAGUUGGUGAGAUUCGGUGUUAAUACAGUAUAUAAUGAUCACUCCAGAGCUGCAGAGUUGAAAGAUUUUCAAGUAAACGAAGCCGGUAAUCUACAUAGUAGAUGUGCCACCGUUAUAUGGCUAGGGUUCAAGGUGUUUACCUUCGACCUGAAGAGGCAAUUCACGUGAGUGAAUUGUAAACUAGAGUGGUACCGCGAGAAUAUCCCUCGUCUCUAGA
rnacentral:ncRNA from 1 species